rnacentral:rRNA from 1 species
AGUGAACGCUGGCGGUAGGCCUAACACAUGCCAGUCGAACGGCAGCACAGUAAGAGCUUGCUCUUACGGGUGGCGAGUGGCGGACGGGUGAGGAAUACAUCGGAAUCUACUUUUUCGUGGGGGAUAACGUAGGGAAACUUACGCUAAUACCGCAUACGACCUACGGGUGAAAGCAGUGGAUCUUCGGACCUUGCGCGAUUGAAUGAGCCGAUGUCGGAUUAGCUGGUUGGCGGGGUAAAGGCCCACGAAGGCGACGAUCCGUAGCUGGUCUGAGAGGAUGGUCAGCCACACUGGAACUGAGACACGGUCCAGACUCCUACGGGAGGGAGCAGUGGGGAAUAUUGGACAAUGGGCGCAAGCAUGAUCCAGCCAUACCGCGUGGGUGAAGAAGACCUUCGGGUUGGAAAGCCCUUUUGUUGGGAAAGAAACGCAGCAGGUUAAUACCCCGCUGUUCUGACGGUACCCAAAGAAUAAGCACCGGCUAACUUCGUG